UGAGAUUCUCUCCAAUGCCAGCAAACUGACAGUGGAAGACACGAGCCAGCACUUCUCCCACCACAUUGCCUCAGGCUUAUGAGGUCCCCACUUAUAACUGAUUCUCCCCCCUUCAUGAGACCAGAUGCUAUGUUGGGAUCACCGGGGCCUCCAUCGCUUGGCAUGUACACGCUACAUCAGGUGUAGCAAUUAUGUGAGCUGCAGUCUGGAUCCUGCCUCUGUCAGAUGACCUAACACAAAUGGAAAGAUGACAUCGAUCCUUGCAAGGACUUCAGACGAUGCCAGCACUGGACUACAUACAGUGGUAAUCAUGGGUGCCUAAACUUGUGCAUGUCACUGUACUGAUAUAUACUAUACAAAUAAUAUUUACAGUAGUCCGUGUCAAAUUUUAUUUCAAGGUAAGAUAGCUUUACAUGUCUUUCAUUGUGCUUUAGUGAUCA